GUGUGAGAGAGAGAGAGAGAGAGAGAGAGAGAGAGAGAUGCAUGGGGGUACACAUGCCAUUGCAUGCAUGUGGAUGUCAGGGGACAACUUUGUGGAGUCAGUUUUCUCCUUUUGCCUUUUUGUAGAUUCCAGGGAUUGAACUUAGGUCACCAGGCUUGCACGGCAAGCACCUCUACUUGCUAAGCCAUCUCGCUGGCCCCCUUGGCAGAGUAUCUUAUCUGGACCCACAAAAAAACAUUUUGAGGAAAGGGUAUUUACUUUAUAGCUGAAAAGCUGAGGUUCAGAGGUAUCAAGGUGGGAAAAGAAAUUAAAUUUUUUUUUGUUUAUUUUUUGAGAUAGGGACUCACUACAUAACCCUGGCUGUCCUGGUACUUUCUGGAUAGAUCAGGCUGUCCUCAAACCCACAGAGACCUGCCCACUUCCAUCUCCUACGUGCUGGCUGUAUGAGCCCUCUACCACUCAGUUACAUCUUGGCUCCUCGUAACCUUCCCCCGAGACCCUUUCCUCCCCAGAUUUUACAUGUGCAUUCCCUUCCGGUGCCCCUCACCUUUGCACCCAGUACCUUUUGCUUCUUUGAGGUUGUUUAGCCUGGAUGCCUCAGCACCCCACGUUAAUUUAUUCCCAGAUGCCCAGCUCCAGUGCGAUCUUGCAGAAUCUGCUCCCAGCUCAUCUCCAUCCAAACGUAGCCUCACUGGCUUCAGGUCCUGUGCUUGCACCACCGUCUCAGUAUUCGGUCCUGUGUGCUGCACAAGCUUUGCUUGUAGCUGGUAGAGCAAGCUCGCAGGAGUCAAGGGCUCAAACCCCAGGCCCUUCAUACCCCUCUGUGACCUUGCGUGUAUCAAUUCACCUGAAACGUCAUUUCCUUCAUUUCUAAGGGAGAGACGGUUGGGAAGGUCAAGAUGUCAUGAUGCUUCCGAAUCCAAUGGUGCCACUGUAGAGCCCUCGGCAGGGCGAAAGGGAGCCCCUGGCAGACUCUGAGGCCCUGCUAGUUGGAUUUCCUUCCCAGACCCCAUGUGCAACCUGACACAGAACAGCUGUGGAUGUCCUCAGGGUCAUUUCCCCCAAAUACCAAACGGGUCCCUGCAGAUGCCACAGACCUGGGGCUUGCCUGCGUUUUUUGGCAUUUCUUCAUCACCCCCUCGGUGUGGGGCAAGACUUGGCUGGGCCCACAGCCAGCAAUAAAGCGGAUGCUAAUCAUAUCAUUAUAUGCUGAAUAAUUAACUGUCAUUUAAAUAUUCAUAUGUUGUUGGGGGCAAGGCCUUUUAUCAGUAUCUGGGGACAUGUCAGCAGAGGAAAGAGAUGGAUGUCGCCAAGGCUGACUCCGCCUGUGAAGGGCGACCUGGGGUCCAGGGAGAGCCAUUGCAGUGGUCACCAGACAGUCAGCUAAUAUAUAACUGCAAUAUUCUCACGUGAUAAACGGCAACUUCAUAAACGCUUGAUGCAUAUGAGCAACCCUAAAACAAUAUUGGAAGCAUUAAUUUCAUUUGACUAAUGCUUAUCUAUAUUUUAUUCUGUUGCCAUCUCUAAAGAAGCCCCUCUUUCCUUCAGGGGAAGGGCGGUAGGGCUGGAGGGCCACUGAUGGACGACAGCAGCCAAGGGGGGCACUUUCCGUUAGCCCUGCCUUUAAGAUGACGAGAUUUGGGACUGGCUCUGAGCUUUGAAGACCUGUCUGAGAGUCUGUGUGAAAUCCUGCCUGAGUCCCUGUCGGGGAACUCAGCCUCUCUGGUGGCAUUACAGGAGAGUGGCAUGGGUAUCUCAGGCUUGGCCAGGUAAAGCAAAGUUGUAUAGGUGCCCUCUUGCUGUCAUGGAGGAAUCAAGAGGGGAGGCCUUGAAGACAGAAGUAUAGUCAGGUGGGGAGUAUUAUGAAGUGACUCUUCUAUAGUGGGGUGUGGGUGGUUGUGGUGGUUUGAAUAUGCUUGGCCCAGGGAAUGGGACUAUUAGGAGGUGUGACCUUGUUGGAGGAAGUCACUGUAGGAGUGGUCUUUUAGACCCUCCUUCCAACUAUGUGGGAGUCAGUCUUCUCUUGGUUGCCAUUGGAACAAGAGGUAGACCUCUCAGCAUCUCCAGCGCUAUGCCUGCCUGGAUGCUGCCAUGCUUCCUGCCAUGAUGAUAACGGAUUGAACCUCUGAACCUGUAAGCCAGCACCAAUUGAAUGUUGUCCUUGUAAGAGUUGCCUUAAUCAUGGUUUCUGUUCACAGCAGUAAAACCCUAACUAAGACAAAUAGGAAGGGACCCGGAGGAGAGAAAGGGAACAGAGGGAGGGUGUGAAGGAACACGAAAGCCAAGAGGGAGAGAACGGCACCUGGAGGUCUGGUGAUGGGUGAGCUGGCUGUUCUGGAGGAGCGAAGCAGCUUGGUGGGGGGGGGGGUUAGUAACAAUGGUUCUAGAAUUGGAUAGCCAUGGGCUGGGCUCUAGCUGUGCCAUUAACUAGCUGUAGGACUCCUGGAUCCUCUUUUUUUAACCCUCAGUUUCCACUUGUGUAAUAGGAGCCACUGUGCUUCAGGGGUGGGCUGAUGACUUAUCGGGUUGCUCUUCUGGGGUCUCACAGAGCUCCAUCAAAUGUCAUCGAUUGGGAGGCUCAAAUUGUGGGUGGUGGUAGAGGUGAUGUCGGUGGCAAUGUCAGUGGUGAUGGUGGUAAAGUUGGGAGGCGAUGGCAGUGGGAAUGGUAGUGGUGACAUUGUUGAUGGCAGUGGUGAUGGUUGUGGUGAUGUUGGAGGCGAUGGUGAUGGUGGUGGCGGUGGCGAUGGUGGUGGCCGUGGUGGUGGUGGUGGGUGUCUGCUUUCAAGAACUCUCUGCAGUUUGCUGACUUUUGUUUCCUUUCAGGAUCUGACGCUGGCUGGUUGUCUGCCAAGGAGACCCUCAAUUCUGAGUGGCCCAUGGUCACUGGCCCUGGGAAUUUCUUCAGCAUGGCUGCUGACUACAUCAAGCAAGAACCUGUUCCUAAGACAGAGCUUAUAUGAUACAUAGUGAUCAUGAAGUAUGGAGGGACACUGUCACCUUUCCAGGUUUACUAAUGAGUGACAGGUUCUGCUAACAUAUAUGGGAGGGGAUAGUACAGGGGUAUGAAUACCAGGGGCCUGGGUUGCUGAGUGACCCUCAAGCCUUUACAUCAUAUCUGACAAGGUUAGCAGUGAGUGCUCUCAGUACCAGGUACUCACGGUCCCUGCGUUUUGUGAACUUUCUCACCUGACCCACAGAAUAACCCAAGAAGAGCAGUAACUGCCCUCACUGUACCAAUGGAGGAAUGUGAGGUCAAGGAUCCUGGUAGGGGUUCAACAGGGGAAGGCAGGAGCACUGUGGAAUUGGUCAUAGACACCAUGUGAUCCAACACCCAGGGUUGCCAGUGAAGACAAACCUCAGAAGACUCUCAGGACAUGCCCUGGCCCUGUUCCACUUUGCCAGGACACGUGACAACACUGGGUCAUGCAGGUGACUCCAGGACAAGCUCUCUGUGGUAAAGCCAACAGGCAUCAGACCCUGGAUCAUCCGAAGUCUAACUUAGCGCUCAGGCUGGUGUCUGACAUAUUCUUGAUUCACUGGAACGAGGACUGAAUACUGUCAGUCCCAGCAGUCCUCUGAGGAUGGUUUUAGGAACUCCAUCCUGCAGGAGGGAGGGGCCUGAGAGUGUGUGACACCUGCUCAAAUAACAGUGUCAGAGCCAGGAUUUUGGAUUCUGAGGCCCGAGUUUUUGUUUCGUUGUUUUGUUUUCUCACCAGCGGCCGCCCACCUAGCCACCUGGCAGGCAUUUGGGGGAGAUUCGGAAAUGUUUCCUCUUUGCUGCCAUCCUGUCUAGUAUCUGUGAAACACCCAUCACUCACCAGCUGCAGACAUUCUCCAGAAAGCUUCAGAACACCCUCGCAAAGGUGUCUGCUAUUGCCCCCAUUUUACAGAUGUGGAAGCAGGUUGAAGGAGGCUUCCUAGUAACUGACUGAGCUGCUUCCCGAGGUAAGGGUCAGAGUGACUGGGAUACAGGCUGGAGAGGGAUGACCUGCAAACCCAGCUUGGCAAGGGUUGGCAGGAGCAGAGGAGGGUCAGGAGAAGCUCCUAGAAGUCUCUUUCCCCUACUGGCCUUUGAGGGCAGAGGUGAGAUUUGGUAGACUCUUGAUAGGAAUUGUUCUGUGUGCAAGCAAGAACCGAGUUAGGUGGAGUGUAAGCAUUCUAGCCUGGCCUGGGUUGUCCCGAGUCCCUUCUGGUUUCAGUCUUGAACUUGUCCUUCCCUGCAAUGCAGAGAUGCGCAGGUGGGAGGGGAGGAUCUAUAGGCUGCUGUGUACAACUGGUCCUUAAGGUUUCUAUCAACCCCAUCCACAAUUUUUCCCACCAGCCUCCUGCCAGCACCAUGGAGUGAAGAGCAGUCUGGCCCAGGAUGCUGAGUUGGAUCCACUUAGACAUUCUCCAGCCCCCCCCCCCCCCAGUGCAUCCCUGUCCCUCCAUCCUUGCUGUACAGUGGUCUGCCUUCCUGCUCACAACCAGGCUCGGCAGGAAAAGCAGCCUACUCCUCCAGUUUCCCUGCUUCCUAAACAUUGCUGAUGCCCGAAGGCUGCUCUCAGCUCUUCUCCUGGAGGUUACCACACUGAAUGGAUAGACGUGCCGGCUUUUAGUGAGCAACACAGGCCUUGAUGCCAGUAAAACACGAGGCAUGAUGGAAAGGGACUGGCCAUUGCUUUGGUUUGCAGACAGAGAUCCCAUCAUCUGCAGGAGGAUUUGAGUGUGAUGAAGCCAUUCAUAGGAAGAUCUAGAUGAAGAACAUCCCAUGCUCAGUGAGCAGGAAGUACAAAGGCCCUGGGGUUAGAGAGAACUUUUCCGACUCCAGGAACCAGAGGAGGCUGGCCUUAGCGGUGACAACAGGCAGGAUCUUGGUGACACUUUCUAUUUCCCCGUAAGUACAAUAGCAGCUCUUGGGGGCUUGGGUCUAGGGAAAACUCUGACUUGAUUUAUAUGUCUCUCUCUGCCUUUUGUACUGAUAACAGAGAGACCAUUAAGAGCUCUGAGGUCAGAAGAUGGAGCAGUCAUUAUUUAAGUGCCUGCGUGUAAACAUGAAGAGCAGAGUUCAGUCAAACAAGCUGGGCAUGGUGCCAUGAGCUUGUAAUCCUUAGGUUGGAGAGAUGGAGACAAGAGACUUCUAGGGACGAGCUGGCUAGUCAGUCUAGGCAAAUAAGUGAACUUCAGGUUCAGGAGAGACUCCAUCUCAAAGGAGGCGGAUGCUGUUCUUGAUGACAUCACCGAAAGUUGUCUUUAGCUUUUCACACACUUUCCUGCAAGCAUGUACGCACACACACACACACACACACACAUACACAUGAAAAAAAUAAUUGUGCCAGUUACUAGUCCAACAUCACAGUCUUCUACAGAUACUCAGUAUCCCAUCCUAGCUCCUUUAGGUCUUACACCGACACAUCGCGUUCCAGGAAUAACUUUAUCCCUUACCUUUUCAAAGUUCCUGUUCAGUCCUCAGAACCCAGCUCCUGGGUAUCCUUCUGGGGAGCCCUUCUCCCUCACCCGUGGCAGGAUAAAUUCACACCCUCACUGCCAUUACCAGUUCUAACAACAGGCUCAUACAGUGUGUUUCUCGUCCCUCUUUCCACUAGGUCAGGAGUCCUUCCAACAUGAAGAUCUAACUCUGAUGGUCUUGGAGACCACAGACCUUCCCUAGCCUGGUCUGGGAGGGAUGCCUGGCAAAUGCUUUCUGGGCUAACGUGAGUUAUUUGAGCACUCGAGUCGCUAGCAGAAGCACUGCGUUAGCGAGUCCCCUUUGUUUGAACAAACAAGAUUAGAAGCAUUGCACUGUUUGUUCUUCCUGGUGAGGCUCUAGCAAAUCCACACUUUGUGGGACUUCUGGCCUCUGGAGGGCCCCUCAGUGUUUUCUAAAAGCAUAGCCCGUGAGAGUUAAAAUUUGAAUAGAUAUCUCUCAAGAGCUGGUCCUGUAUUCCUGUAUUACCUUGAGACAAAUGUUUGUUAAUAUAUAUAUAUAUAUAUAUAUGUAUUCUAGUUGCUAGAAUACAUGUUGUAAAUACUUGCGUUUGAAAAUGUACACUUCCGGGAUGCUUUGUGGGUUCCUGUGCAUGUUCACGUACGACUAGAAAUCUGUUUGUCACAGAUGCUUCCCAGGUCUGGUGGUUGUUUUCUCUAUCCUAAUUAAUCUAUUGAUGUAGAAUUAUGCAUCUUUCCCCAUAAGCCGGGAGUGUAUUUAAAAGCUCAUUUCCUUGCCUGAGAUACAUGCAAAUAAAAGUUAAAG
rnacentral:lncRNA from 1 species